rnacentral:rRNA from 1 species
CCCAAGAGUUCAUAUCGACGGCGGUGUUUGGCACCUCGAUGUCGGCUCAUCACAUCCUGGGGCUGAAGUAGGUCCCAAGGGUAUGGCUGUUCGCCAUUUAAAGUGGUACGCGAGCUGGGUUUAGAACGUCGUGAGACAGUUCGGUCCCUAUCUGCCGUGGGCGCUGGAGAACUGAGGGGGGCUGCUCCUAGUACGAGAGGACCGGAGUGGACGCAUCACUGGUGUUCGGGUUGUCAUGCCAAUGGCACUGCCCGGUAGCUAAAUGCGGAAGAGAUAAGUGCUGAAAGCAUCUAAGCACGAAACUUGCCCCGAGAUGAGUUCUCCCUGACUCCUUGAGAGUCCUGAAGGAACGUUGAAGACGACGACGUUGAU